rnacentral:rRNA from 1 species
CCUACGGGAGGCAGCAGUGGGGAAUCUUGCACAAUGGAGGAAACUCUGAUGCAGCGAUGCCGCGUGAGUGAAGAAGGCCUUUGGGUUGUAAAGCUCUUUUGUAGGGGAAGAUAAUGACUGUACCCUAAGAAUAAGGUCCGGCUAACUUCGUGCCAGCAGCCGCGGUAAUACGAAGGGACCUAGCGUAGUUCGGAAUUACUGGGCGUAAAGCGCGCGUAGGCCGUUGAGUUAGUUAAUUGUGAAAUCCCAAAGCUUAACUUUGGAACUGCAAUUAAAACUGCUCGACUAGAGUUUGAUAGAGGAAAGCGGAAUACAUAGUGUAGAGGUGAAAUUCGUAGAUAUUAUGUAGAACACCAGUUGCGAAGGCGGCUUUCUGGAUCAACACUGACGCUGAGGCGCGAAAGUAUGGGUAGCAAAGAGGAUUAGAUACCCUCGUAGUCCAUACCAUAAACGAUGAUUGCUAGAUGUUGGAAAUUUAUUUUCAGUAUCGCAGCUAACGCAUUAAGCAAUCCGCCUGGGGAGUACGACCGCAAGGUUAAAACUCAAAAGAUAGUAGACGUGNGAGAGACGACGACGACGACGACGAGGAGAG